rnacentral:rRNA from 1 species
GAUGAACGCUGGCGGCGUGCCUAAUACAUGCAAGUCGAGCGAACAGAUGAGGAGCUUGCUCCUCUGACGUUAGCGGCGGACGGGUGAGUAACACGUGGAUAACCUACCUAUAAGACUGGGACAACUUCGGGAAACCGGAGCUAAUACCGGAUCAUAUAUUGAACCGCAUGGUUCAAUAGUGAAAGACGGUUUUGCUGUCACUUAUAGAUGGAUCCGCGCCGCAUUAGCUAGUUGGUAAAGUAACGGCUUACCAAGGCAACGAUGCGUAGCCGACCUGAGAGGGUGAUCGGCCACACUGGAACUGAGACACGGUCCAGACUCCUACGGGAGGCAGCAGUAGGGAAUCUUCCGCAAUGGGCGAAAGCCUGACGGAGCAACGCCGCGUGAGUGAUGAAGGUCUUCGGAUCGUAAAACUCUGUUAUUAGGGAAGAACAAAUGUGUAAGUAACUAUGCACGUCUUGACGGUACCUAAUCAGAAAGCCACGGCUAACUACGUG